rnacentral:pre_miRNA from 1 species
CUGUGGGGCAACCUGUCUUUAAGUAGGGGUAAAUUAUUCUAAGGGAAGUAAAUCUUAGAUAGUUUCCUUUCAAGUCAAGUGUCUUGA